UGUUCUCAAGCCGGUGCCGCGGCUGGACUUCCCCUACCCAUCUCCCUCUUAUUUCCCUUCUCUGUCAUUUUCCGAGGGACUCCGUCUCGCGAUAACCCCGAGAGCGACACGAAUAGAUCGCAGCCUUCUCCUCGCUUCAUUCAUCCGAUCGCGCGCUUGGAAAGAGGAGCUCAUCCAAACAUCCUCGCAUCGCUCUCGCAUCAGCGACACAGCCAGGCAAACGGGGUUCGGUGCAAUACUCCAUGACCACCUUCAUUCUAAUAUCCUCAACUUCACCAUCAGCAUCACCACCGCUGUCCUCUUAGUACACCCGUGAUCCUCGGUUUUCUUUUUAAUUACUUUCCACGAAUCAUUAAUAACCCAUACCGUACUAGAUGAUCUACACGCCGCCACAGGAUUGGUGUUAGUGGUAUACAACCCAUCGCGGAGCAUCAGAAUGCUAAAUUAGUACCAUACUAUGUACGUCUUGUAGUUAAUUGCCAUUCGGAAUAUUCUCAUCGUGUCCAUAUUACUGUGAACGAAACACCUUCAACUUUUCCUGGAACUUUUACUUUCUGCGAAGGAUUGUGGACUAUUAAUUAAAUCGGAUCUUGUUCAGGUGCUAUAAUAUUCGCUGCUUCCUUGACCUGGUGAGGAAUACACAGAAGCCACGAUGAAAGUUGAAGAAACUGCACUGAGUCCCACCAGCGAAAAUGGGUCUGCAGCAGCAGGUCUCGCUACCAACGGAACCAGACCAUCCAAGGAAAUGUGCGCGGGGUGUCAGCGCGCCAUCGAUGACCGGUAUCUCAUGAAAGUAAUGGAUCACUGCUGGCACGAGCAAUGUCUUCAAUGCAGCGUCUGUAGAAUAAGACUAUCACACUCCUGCUUUGCCAGAGAUCGCAAGUUAUACUGCAAACUAGACUACGAAAAGUAAGUCCCGGUUUUUUGUUGUUGUAUUUCUCGUAUCAUAUUAUUGUUCCCAUUUGUUGUGACGUAAUUUAUUAUGACGUAAUUUAUUGUGACAUCGCAAUGAAAACGUAAUGGCCCGAAUUCACAAAGGAGGUUUGUCGACAAACCUUGGUUUU